CCUACGGGAGGCAGCAGUGAGGAAUAUUGGUCAAUGGACGCAAGUCUGAACCAGCCAAGCCGCGUGCAGGAAGACUGCUCUAUGAGUUGUAAACUGCUUUUGUACGAGGGUAAACGCAGAUACGCGUAUCUGUCUGAAAGUCUCGUACGAAUAAGGAUAGGCUAACUCCGUGCCAGCAGCCGCGGUAAUACUGAGGAUUCAAGCGUUAUCCGGAUUUAUUGGGUUUAAAGGGAGCGUAGGCGGUCGGAUAAGUUAGUGGUGAAAUUCCGAGGCUCAACUUCGGAAUUGCAUUUGAUACUGGUCGGCUAGAGUGUAGUUGCGGUAGGCGGAAUGUGUGGUGUAGCGGUGAAAUGCUUAGAUAUCAUGCAGAACACCGAUUGCGAGGGCAGCGUACCAAGCUACUUCUGACGUUGAUGCACGAAAGCGUGGGAAGCAAACAGGAUUAGAUACCCCUGUAGUC
rnacentral:rRNA from 1 species